rnacentral:rRNA from 2 species
GCCUAAUACAUGCAAGUCGAGCGAACUGAUUAGAAAGCUUGCUUCUAUGACGUUAGCGGCGGACGGGUGUGUAACACGUGGGCAACCUGCCUGUAAGACUGGGAUAACUUCGGGAAACCGAAGCUAAUACCGGAUAGGAUCUUCUCCUUCAUGGGAGAUGAUUGAAAGAUGGUUUCGGCUAUCACUUACAGAUGGGCCCGCGGUGCAUUAGCUAGUUGGUGAGGUAACGGCUCACCAAGGCAACGAUGCAUAGCCGACCUGAGAGGGUGAUCGGCCACACUGGGACUGAGACACGGCCCAGACUCCUACGGGAGGCAGCAGUAGGGAAUCUUCCGCAAUGGACGAAAGUCUGACGGAGCAACGCCGCGUGAGUGAUGAAGGCUUUCGGGUCGUAAAACUCUGUUGUUAGGGAAGAACAAGUACAAGAGUAACUGCUCGUACCUUGACGGUACCUAACCAGAAAGCCACGGCUAACUACGUGCCAGCAGCCGCGGUAAUAC